GCUGGGUACGGUGGCACAUACCUGUAAUCCCAGCAGCAUGGGAAGCUGAGAUGGGAGGAUUGCAAAUUCAAAGCCAGCCUCAGCCUCAGCAAGGCACUAAGCAACUCAGUGAGACCCCCGUCUCUA
rnacentral:sRNA from 1 species